AGAUUGUGGAUUGUGGAGAGGAUAAAGCUCAUGCUUGGGAGAUCUAAAAUGAGUACUUUGUAUCUAAGCCAUGUCCAACGCAUCCCUCCCCACAUAAGAAGGACAGCUAACCUUUCCAGAAGCAAGGGUUUUAGGAGUUGGAAUCACAUCAGGUUGGCCAAGCCACAGCGAGAGAUACAUAGAGAGAGAGAGAGACGGACAAACAGAGAGGGAGAGAAAGGUGAGUAUACUUUUCCAUGAGCCCGUGUUCUAAAUAUGGUGGAGACAGCAAGAUCGCUCCCCAUAGCUGUAAAUUCUCACCCCGUGGUCAGGAUAUUGUUAGAGGAAAGCAGUCGCCGCAUGCACUGAAACGAAGGGGACCACGAAAGCCGCUUUCGGUGGUUGAUGAAUUCUUAGAUGAAUCUUCUGAAGUGCAGUCCCUUUUUUUCUCCUAAUCGAAAGAGCACAGUAGACCCAAAUAAGAAAGGGAAUGACAGCAUGUAUUACUACCCUGGUAGACUGUGGUUGGACACUGAGGGAAAUCCUAUUCAAGCACAUGGAGGAGGAAUUUUAUUUGACGAGAGGACAGAGACCUACUACUGGUAUGGUGAGAACAAAGAUGGCCCAACUUACCAGGCACGGGUAAUCAGUUGGUACUACUGCUAGUGCUGUUCCCUCACCCUUGCC